rnacentral:rRNA from 1 species
UGGCCUCACGGCUGAACCAGCAACUUGAAGGAAUGUAUGGCGAAAGCUAGUAAAGCCGAGUAUUACCUCGGAAGACAUCGAUUUACUCGAAUAAAAUUUUGGGGUGAAGUAUGAUAAUGACAUCUUUGCUAGAGGUCUUGACAAAGCUACGUGCCAGCAGUCGCGGUAAUACGUGGGAGACGAGUGUUAUUCAUCUUUAUUAGGUUUAAAGGGUACCUAGACAGCAAAUUAAGCCUAGAAAAUAAAAACAAGGGACUAAUAAGCUAGAGUUAUUUGUGAGGGGGCUAUAAGGUACUAGUCAGUGUAGAGAUGAAAUUCUUUGAUACGUUUAUUCGUAAGAAUACAUUAUGGCACGGGUUACGGCGAAAGCUUCUCUUUAUGUAAUAAC